rnacentral:rRNA from 1 species
CGCACGGGUGAGUAACACGUAUCCAACCUGCCGUCUACUCUUGGACAGCCUUCUGAAAGGAAGAUUAAUACAAGAUGGCAUCAUGAGUCCGCAUGUUCACAUGAUUAAAGGUAUUCCGGUAGACGAUGGGGAUGCGUUCCAUUAGAUAGUAGGCGGGGUAACGGCCCACCUAGUCUUCGAUGGAUGGGGGUUCUGAGAGGAAGGUCCCCCACAUUGGAACUGAGACACGGUCCAA